rnacentral:rRNA from 1 species
UACAGAGGUCUCAAGCGUUGUUCGGAUUCAUUGGGCGUAAAGGGUGCGUAGGCGGUAGGGUAAGUCUGGUGUGAAAUCCUGGAGCUUAACUUCAGAAAUGCACUGGAUACUGCCCUGCUAGAGGACUGGAGAGGAGAGUGGAAUUCACGGUGUAGCAGUGAAAUGCGUAGAUAUCGUGAGGAAGACCAGUGGCGUAAGCGAAUCUCUGGACAGUUCCUGACGCUGAGGCACGAAGGCCAGGGGAGCAAACGGG